GCCCGUCAAAUUAAGUGCCAGCUGACGCGGUUAAACUUAAGGGCUGGUCUUUAUAAGUAAAAAGGCGUAGAGGAUGUGUAGGCCAAGAAAUUAUCUAAGAAGGUAAAUGGAAUUUUUCUGGAGCGGUAAAAUGUGAAGAUAGAAAAUAGAACACCUAAGGUUAAAACUAUUUACCACAAAAUAGGCUGAAACAUGAGAGAGUGGGGAGCAAACAGGAUUAGAGACCCUGGUAGUCCACUCUGUAAACUUUGAAGAUUAUGUUUAGCAGGCCCGAAAGGUAAAAUCUUCCGCCUGAGUAGUACGAUCGCAAGAUUAAAAUUCAAAAACUUUGGCUGUUCACUACUUCGAUUAGAGGAGCGUGUAGUUUAAUUCGAUGGUCCGCGUGUUACCUUACCCCAGCUUGAAUCUAUGACCGGUAUUGCAUGGCCGUCGUAAGUCCCUGUGUUAAACUAAAAGGGACCCAAUCCGGGCGUUUGCCUGAAGGAAGUCAGGUCUUAUGAUCCG
rnacentral:rRNA from 1 species